rnacentral:lncRNA from 1 species
GGUCUUCCGCGCGGAGCGUCCCCGGCGGACGCUGCGCAGAUGGCUGCGACUGUAGGAUUCUUGCCGGCUAGUCUUCGUCGGUUCCGCCUGCGUCAGGUUACUCGUGAAAACUCGAAUAAGUGCUAUCGAUGUGAAAUCCGAGGAAAAGAGCAUUUGGGGGAAAAGUAAGGAAAACUCAAAACUCGGAUUGAGAAGUCUGCCUUGGCUCAUUAAUCAAGAAUUGCGCUUGCGCGCCUAAAUGUGACUGCCUUUAUCCUGCGAUGUCGGUAUUGAAGUAAGAGCAAUACUGGCGGCGUACCUAGCAUUUAGCGACCAUCAGUAUCAGUAGCAGGCCUCUAGCAAAGAACCAGUUAGUGAGCUUUGUACCAUAUCGAAAAUUAUAAGCCGUCCAAAAAAGUGUGAGAGUAAGGAAAAUGGCAGAUUAGAAUCAAAAUAUUUUUAUACCUGUGUCAUACAAGGGUACUUUGAAAAUAGAAAACCAGGUGGAAAUACCACAAAACUUAUUGUAUAUGUUGACACCGAAGAUGGUUUACAAUAGGGAAGAACAGGUGCAAUCAUGCUUGUUCUGUUUCAUGCCAAAUUCCGAAGAUUCACAGUAAGAAUUUAAUCAGAGGUCUUUAUAUUGGAAAAUAUUGCCUAACUGUAGCCUGCUUCAGGCUUGGUUAAUAUAGUUGUGAAACUAGACAUUAAGGCCCUGUAAUACAGACAAAACUUUAAAGAAAUAGGUCAUUUAAAAUGUCCCGUAGAAAAAUGAACAAAAUUCUGUUACUUCAGUUUGCUAAAUAGUGUUUUGUUUUUUUACCAAGUUACAAACACGAUUACACUAAUAUAUUCACACGUCGAUUAUGGUAGUCUUAAGAAGAGCAGUUUAGAGGAGACAGGAGCUUGAGUAAAAGGGAACUUAAGACCAAGUUGACUCGUAGGAAGAUACGGAAGAUAAAAGAGAAUUGAGGUAAUUAAUCUAUCAGUCAUGCUAGAGACAGGAAUGAUUUUUCCAAUAGGAGGUGAAGGUACACAGAUGUUUGUCUUUACUGGGAAUAAUGCCACAGUGGAAGACAAAGGUAAUAUAGAAAAUAAAAUAUUAAGAAGGAAUUAAGUAUUAAGAAGGAUCGUGGAUUUGAGGUGGAGUGGAGGAAAUUUGGAAUUAAUCUUUGUGCUAAGAAACUAACAGGACGAAUGAAGAUUGCUGAAUAGUACCAGCGAAGUGAUUAUUCCAAAGUAGACAAGAAAAAAAUAUUGGUUAAAAGGACUUCUGACUCAAACUCCUCCUCUUGAGUUUGCAGUUUGCCACUUCCAGCCUGGCGACUAGGUGCUGAUUAAGACUUGGAAAGAAGACAAGCUCCACCCAAGCUGAGAAGGUCCCUGUCAAGUGCUGCUGACCCCUGAGAUGGCCAUAUGUACAGCUGAAUGGGGGUGGACUCACUAUACUUGUCAAGGGACUGGUAAAAGAGACCCUGGAAGGGUGGGAAAAAGACCAGUGGAAAGUACAUGGGUCACCUGAGGAACCCUUAAAAUUAACUCUGAGAUGAAUCUAAAAAGAAAACAUGGGCUGGUCCCAUUUCUGGAAAUUAAUAUGGCUGGGAUGGGCUACUAUGCAAAGAGAAGAAGGUCAAAGUAGAAACUAUCAGGGGACUCCUCCCUACCCACUCAGGUUGGUAAUUAAUGUAAACAAGAUGGUGGCACCCAAGACUAUAAGAUUUGAUGACUGCCAAGGUUUUUACCUUGUAAGAAUUUGGAAAAUCAGAGACAGCUCUCACAUGUGGAUAAAUAUCCACUUCAUAUGAGGUGCUUGGAAUAGUCAAAUUAGAGGUUUCUAGGGGCUAGGGAGAAAAUAAAUGGGGAGUUAUUGUUUAAUAGGUACAGAGUUUCUCUUUCAAAGAAUGAAAAGUUCUGUAAAUGGAUAGUGGUGAUGAUUGCACAACAGUGUGUACUUAAUGCCACCGAACUGUACACUUAAGAAUGGUAAAUUUUAGGUUAUAUUUUACCACAAUAAAAAAUUAAAAUCAACAGUAAAGAAAUCAAUCCAAUUAAAAAUGGGCAAAAGAUUUCAAGACACAUUUCAAUGAAGAGGAUUUACAUAUGGCAAACAAAUGGAAAGUUGUUUAACAUUUCUAGCUAAUAGGGAAAUGCAAAUUAAGACCAUGAGAUAUUAUAACACAUUUAUUAGAGAACCACUAAAAUAAAAAAUGGUGACAACAUUAAUGCUGGCAAAGAUGCAGACAAACUGAUUUCUCAUACAUUGCAAGUGGAAAUGCAAAAUGGUUUAACCACUCUGGAGAAUUGUUUGGAAGUUUCUUAAAAAUUAAACAUGCAGCUAUCAUAUGAUCAAACUGUUGAACUACUAGGUAUUUAUUCCAGAGAAAUGAAAACUUAUGUUCACACAAAUACAUAUACACAAAUGUCCAAAGCAGCUUUAUCUGCAAUAGCCAACAACCAAAAACAAUCAAAAUUGUCAUCAGUAGGUGAAUGGCUAAACAAACUAUGGUCAUCAGUAUGCUGAAUGGCUAAACAAACUGUGGUACAUUCUUACUGUGGAAUAUUACUUAGCAAUAAAAAGAAAGAAACUAUUGAUGGACACAACUUGGAUGGAUUUCAAGGGCAUUUUUAUGCCAAGUGAAGAAAACUAAUCUCAAAAGUCACAUACUAUGUGAUUCCAUUUGUACGACAUUCUCAAUAUGAGGAAAUUUUAGAGAUGAAGAACAGAUUAGUGGUUGCCAAGGGCUAGGUAUAGAUGGGAGAGGCAGAGGGAUGAGUAGAACUUUUAAUAAAGGGGUAGAAUGAGGGUAAUUCUUGUGGUGAUAGAAUAGUUCUGUACCUUGAUUGCGACUGUUGCAUGACUCCAUGUGUGGUAAAGUGGCAUGGAAUUAUACAUAUGUUGUAUCAAUAUCAAUUUCCUGAUUGUGAUAUUAUGCUAUAGUUAUGUAAGAGGUAACAUUGAGGUAUAACUGAGUGAAGAGUACAGAGGAUUUCUCUGUAUUAUCUUUGCAACUUCGUGUGACUGUAUAAUGAUUUCAAAAUUAAAAAGUUUAAAACAUUUAAGUCUUUAAUCCAUCUUGAAUUAAUUUUUGUAUAAGGUGUAAGGAAGGGAUCCAGUUUCAACUUUCUCCAUAUGGCUAGCCAGUUUUCCCAGCACCAUUUAUUAAAUAGGGAAUCCUUUCUCCAUUUCUUGUUUUUGUCAGGUUUGUCAAAGAUCAGAUAAUUGUAGAUAUGUGGCAUUAUUUCUGAGGACUCUGUUCUGUUUCAUUGGUCUAUAUCUCUGUUUUGGUACCAGUACCAUGCUGUUUUGGUUACUGUAGCCUUGUAGUAUAGUUUGAAGUCAGGUAGCAUGAUGCCUCCAGCUUUGUUGUUUUGGCUUAGGAUUGACUUGGCA